rnacentral:tRNA from 1 species
AGUAGAAUGGCUGAGGUUAGAAGUGGUAGAUUGUAAGUCUAUUAAGGGGUUUAUUACCCUUCUACUA